UUAAGCGACUAAGCGUACACGGUGGAUGCCCUGGCAGUCAGAGGCGAUGAAGGACGUGCUAAUCUGCGAUAAGCGUCGGUAAGGUGAUAUGAACCGUUAUAACCGGCGAUUUCCGAAUGGGGAAACCCAGUGUGUUUCGACACACUAUCAUUAACUGAAUCCAUAGGUUAAUGAGGCGAACCGGGGGAACUGAAACAUCUAAGUACCCCGAGGAAAAGAAAUCAACCGAGAUUCCCCCAGUAGCGGCGAGCGAACGGGGAGCAGCCCAGAGCCUGAAUCAGUGUGUGUGUUAGUGGAAGCGUCUGGAAAGGCGCGCGAUACAGGGUGACAGCCCCGUACACAAAAAUGCACAUGCUGUGAGCUCGAUGAGUAGGGCGGGACACGUGGUAUCCUGUCUGAAUAUGGGGGGACCAUCCUCCAAGGCUAAAUACUCCUGACUGACCGAUAGUGAACCAGUACCGUGAGGGAAAGGCGAAAAGAACCCCGGCGAGGGGAGUGAAAAAGAACCUGAAACCGUGUACGUACAAGCAGUGGGAGCACGCUUAGGCGUGUGACUGCGUACCUUUUGUAUAAUGGGUCAGCGACUUAUAUUCUGUAGCAAGGUUAACCGAAUAGGGGAGCCGAAGGGAAACCGAGUCUUAACUGGGCGUUAAGUUGCAGGGUAUAGACCCGAAACCCGGUGAUCUAGCCAUGGGCAGGUUGAAGGUUGGGUAACACUAACUGGAGGACCGAACCGACUAAUGUUGAAAAAUUAGCGGAUGACUUGUGGCUGGGGGUGAAAGGCCAAUCAAACCGGGAGAUAGCUGGUUCUCCCCGAAAGCUAUUUAGGUAGCGCCUCGUGAAUUCAUCUCCGGGGGUAGAGCACUGUUUCGGCAAGGGGGUCAUCCCGACUUACCAACCCGAUGCAAACUGCGAAUACCGGAGAAUGUUAUCACGGGAGACACACGGCGGGUGCUAACGUCCGUCGUGAAGAGGGAAACAACCCAGACCGCCAGCUAAGGUCCCAAAGUCAUGGUUAAGUGGGAAACGAUGUGGGAAGGCCCAGACAGCCAGGAUGUUGGCUUAGAAGCAGCCAUCAUUUAAAGAAAGCGUAAUAGCUCACUGGUCGAGUCGGCCUGCGCGGAAGAUGUAACGGGGCUAAACCAUGCACCGAAGCUGCGGCAGCGACACUAUGUGUUGUUGGGUAGGGGAGCGUUCUGUAAGCCUGUGAAGGUGUACUGUGAGGUAUGCUGGAGGUAUCAGAAGUGCGAAUGCUGACAUAAGUAACGAUAAAGCGGGUGAAAAGCCCGCUCGCCGGAAGACCAAGGGUUCCUGUCCAACGUUAAUCGGGGCAGGGUGAGUCGACCCCUAAGGCGAGGCCGAAAGGCGUAGUCGAUGGGAAACAGGUUAAUAUUCCUGUACUUGGUGUUACUGCGAAGGGGGGACGGAGAAGGCUAUGUUGGCCGGGCGACGGUUGUCCCGGUUUAAGCGUGUAGGCUGGUUUUCCAGGCAAAUCCGGAAAAUCAAGGCUGAGGCGUGAUGACGAGGCACUACGGUGCUGAAGCAACAAAUGCCCUGCUUCCAGGAAAAGCCUCUAAGCAUCAGGUAACAUCAAAUCGUACCCCAAACCGACACAGGUGGUCAGGUAGAGAAUACCAAGGCGCUUGAGAGAACUCGGGUGAAGGAACUAGGCAAAAUGGUGCCGUAACUUCGGGAGAAGGCACGCUGAUAUGUAGGUGAAGUCCCUUGCGGAUGGAGCUGAAAUCAGUCGAAGAUACCAGCUGGCUGCAACUGUUUAUUAAAAACACAGCACUGUGCAAACACGAAAGUGGACGUAUACGGUGUGACGCCUGCCCGGUGCCGGAAGGUUAAUUGAUGGGGUUAGCGCAAGCGAAGCUCUUGAUCGAAGCCCCGGUAAACGGCGGCCGUAACUAUAACGGUCCUAAGGUAGCGAAAUUCCUUGUCGGGUAAGUUCCGACCUGCACGAAUGGCGUAAUGAUGGCCAGGCUGUCUCCACCCGAGACUCAGUGAAAUUGAACUCGCUGUGAAGAUGCAGUGUACCCGCGGCAAGACGGAAAGACCCCGUGAACCUUUACUAUAGCUUGACACUGAACAUUGAGCCUUGAUGUGUAGGAUAGGUGGGAGGCUUUGAAGUGUGGACGCCAGUCUGCAUGGAGCCGACCUUGAAAUACCACCCUUUAAUGUUUGAUGUUCUAACGUUGACCCGUAAUCCGGGUUGCGGACAGUGUCUGGUGGGUAGUUUGACUGGGGCGGUCUCCUCCUAAAGAGUAACGGAGGAGCACGAAGGUUGGCUAAUCCUGGUCGGACAUCAGGAGGUUAGUGCAAUGGCAUAAGCCAGCUUGACUGCGAGCGUGACGGCGCGAGCAGGUGCGAAAGCAGGUCAUAGUGAUCCGGUGGUUCUGAAUGGAAGGGCCAUCGCUCAACGGAUAAAAGGUACUCCGGGGAUAACAGGCUGAUACCGCCCAAGAGUUCAUAUCGACGGCGGUGUUUGGCACCUCGAUGUCGGCUCAUCACAUCCUGGGGCUGAAGUAGGUCCCAAGGGUAUGGCUGUUCGCCAUUUAAAGUGGUACGCGAGCUGGGUUUAGAACGUCGUGAGACAGUUCGGUCCCUAUCUGCCGUGGGCGCUGGAGAACUGAGGGGGGCUGCUCCUAGUACGAGAGGACCGGAGUGGACGCAUCACUGGUGUUCGGGUUGUCAUGCCAAUGGCACUGCCCGGUAGCUAAAUGCGGAAGAGAUAAGUGCUGAAAGCAUCUAAGCACGAAACUUGCCCCGAGAUGAGUUCUCCCUGACUCCUUGAGAGUCCUGAAGGAACGUUGAAGACGACGACGUUGAUAGGCCGGGUGUGUAAGCGCAGCGAUGCGUUGAGCUAACCGGUACUAAUGAACCGUGAGGCUUAACCU
rnacentral:rRNA from 1 species